rnacentral:rRNA from 1 species
UGGGGAAUAUUGCACAAUGGGCGGAAGCCUGAUGCAGCGACGCCGCGUGAGGGAUGACGGCCUUCGGGUUGUAAACCUCUUUCAGCAGGGACGAAGCGAGAGUGACGGUACCUGCAGAAGAAGCGCCGGCCAACUACGUGCCAGCAGCCGCGGUAAGACGUAGGGCGCGAGCGUUGUCCGGAUUUAUUGGGCGUAAAGAGCUCGUAGGCGGCUUGUCGCGUCGAAUGUGAAAACUCGGGGCUCAACCCCGCGCUUGCAUUCGAUACGGGCAGGCUCGAGUUCGGUAGGGGAGACUGGAAUUCCUGGUGUAGCGGUGAAAUGCGCAGAUAUCAGGAGGAACACCGGUGGCGAAGGCGGGUCUCUGGGCCGAUACUGACGCUGAGGAGCGAAAGCGUGGGGAGCGAACA